GAUGAACGCUGGCGGCGUGCCUAAUACAUGCAAGUCGAGCGAACAGACGAGGAGCUUGCUCCUCUGACGUUAGCGGCGGACGGGUGAGUAACACGUGGAUAACCUACCUAUAAGACUGGGAUAACUUCGGGAAACCGGAGCUAAUACCGGAUAACAUGUUGAACCGCAUGGUUCAACAGUGAAAGACGGUUUGCUGUCACUUAUAGAUGGAUCCGCGUCGCAUUAGCUAGUUGGUAAGGUAACGGCUUACCAAGGCAACGAUGCGUAGCCGACCUGAGAGGGUGAUCGGCCACACUGGAACUGAGACACGGUCCAGACUCCUACGGGAGGCAGCAGUAGGGAAUCUUCCGCAAUGGGCGAAAGCCUGACGGAGCAACGCCGCGUGAGUGAAGAAGGUCUUCGGAUCGUAAAACUCUGUUAUUAGGGAAGAACAAAUGUGUAAGUAACUAUGCACGUCUUGACGGUACCUAAUCAGAAAGCCACGGCUAACUACGUG
rnacentral:rRNA from 1 species